UUUAGUUCGGCGAUUAGAAAUCUCCCUCUCAUUUUACGGCAGAGGCCCCUAAGCUCGUGUUUAUCAAUUUCCUGAAUAAUUUUGCAAAAUAAAGUGUUGUUUUCCUUCUUCGGGCAAAGAGUAUCAGCCUCAUGUGGUGGAGGUAAAUAGUGAUCAAAGAGGAAGAAAUCUUGUUCCCGACCUUGAAAGGAAGAUGGGCUUGUAAACUUAAGUGUCCUGUUCUGUGCCUGCUCGUCAUUUUCAUGGUGAUUAGGGUUGGAAAAGAUCUCCAAGAUCAACUCCAGCAAGGUUUAAGCCUUCGAGUUCUAAGAUUUCCUCAAUUAAAAACCAAGAAGUUGGGCAGAUGGCACAGUGCCCUCAACACACGCCCCCGCAGAGGGAGACUCCCACAGCUAAUGCAUAAUAGGCUUUCUACAACAAACCCAGAGGGAUUUGUGAACUCGGGACAUACCCAGAUCACAAAGGCAGCCCCAAAUCUGGAAAACUUCAUUGUCGUGGAGUCAGAGAUUUGAAGCUGCUUCAUUUUCAGUGUGCUGGAGUGAAUCCACCUUAAUGGCAGACACAGACGGAGAUGGAUUAUGCUUGAUUAGAAACUUUUCUGCAUUCGUAUAUCAUCUUCUCCCAGUUCAAAGAAACCAGAGAAUGUUCUUCCAUGGGAAAGCAAGAGUUCCCAAGGCUCAAGAGAGCUCCUGGCACAGCUUUCGAGUGUGGUACAGCAGAAUUGCAAACCAGGGAUUAUCGAAAGACAGGAAUUGAGAUAUGAAGAAAAAUCUGGGAACAUCUGCUGUGGUUUGCAUUGGUAAAAAUUGCAAGAAAUACAUUCAGUAGCAAAGCCGUUGGGACCCAGGAGAAAUGGAGAGCCCUGUAUUCCUGGAGAAUUGACCUGUACGUUUUAAGUCACAAUCCUGAAAUAAACUCUGUAGACUUCUGACC